rnacentral:rRNA from 1 species
CUAGCCGUAAAUUAUGUCCGCUAAGUGUUUGGGCUUAUACCCCAAGUGCUGUUACCUAACGGGUUAAGCGGAUCGCCUGGGUAGUAUACUCGCAAGAGUGAAACUCAAAGGGAUAGGCGGGGGAACACACAAGAGGUGGAUUGUCUCGAGUAAUUGGAUUCUAAGCCAGAAAUCUUACCACCACUUGACAUGCUAUGUGUCGCAGGAGAAACGCCUGCUAGACUUCGGUCGCGUAGCACAGUUGG